AGUAAAUGUAUGAAUGGAAAGCUUGUGACCUCCCCUACAACGUGAUCAGGGAGACUUCACCGUCAUCAAGGUUGUAAGACCAGAGCAGCAAAACGCAAGCUAGUCGAUUGCUUUUGUUUUGAAUGCAUGGGGGUACUAGACACAUUGUGAAUGGGAUAUCUCAGCGGUGAAAUGACGGAUUCGAAAAAUUCCUUCGCUGUUUGACGAUUAAAUGAAGAACUCUGUGCCAUGGAAGUGAGACUGAAAAUAUCUCAAAGGUGGCAGCCAGGACACAUAGAGUACCAAACAGCUCUUUUGAACCAAGAAGAAGCUAAAAAGCUUGAAAUGCUGCAUAAGAUCAGGCUUUUAGCUGUGGAGAGGGACUUCUUGGUUGUUGUGAGGAGCAAGUAUUCAGCCUGGGCUUCAGCAGUACAGAAGGUGAUCUCCCAGCUACAAUUUCUCUUGUGGAUGCAAAGGAUACCUCCUCCGAUCUGUUUCUGAACUUUGAGGAAAAGCUUUAUAAUGUAAGCACUGUCAGGCCAUUGGUGUCUCAGGUUGCCAACAGCACCAGGAGAAGAGCCUUGGAAGCUGCAGACCUACACAAGAGCUGCAGAACAACAACUCCUGAUAAAGCAGGACAUGUUGCAUUUGGCUCAAACUAUGCAUGAAAAGCAUGCAGAGCUGGAACAACAGCUGAUAGUAAACUGCACUACACUGUUUGAAAGGGGAAGAAAGAGUCUAGUCAUUCUUGAAUUGGCUCAUUUAGAACAUAUAACUCCACACAUGUCUGAAAGGUACUCUGCAGCUGGUGUUCCUGUACCUUUUAUCUCCCAGGGUGUCUAUAGCUUCUUCCCAUGUUCUAAUUUCGAUGAGAGUGAUGAUAAUAGGGCAGCAGUGUGGAGUAGUGGUUAGGGCUCUGGACUCUUGACCGGAGGGUUGUGGGUUCAAUCCCCAGUGGGGGACACUGCUGUUGUACCCUUGAGCAAGGUACUUUACCUAGAUUGCUCCAGUAAAAACCCAACUGUAUAAAUGGGUAAUUGUAUUUAAAAUAAUGUGAUAUUUGUAUAAUGUGAAAUAAUGUAUAAUGUGAUGUCUUGUAACAAUUGUAAGUCGCCCUGGAUAAGGGCGUC